CCUACGGGAGGCAGCAGUAGGGAAUAUUGGGCAAUGGAGGCAACUCUGACCCAGCCAUGCCGCGUGAACGAAGAAGGCGCUAUGCGUCGUAAAGUUCUUUUAGAGGGGCGAAAACACUUGAUUCAUCAAGUACUGACGGUACCUUCGGAAUAAGCACCGGCUAACUCUGUGCCAGCAGCCGCGGUAAUACAGAGGGUGCAAGCGUUAUCCGGAAUCACUGGGUUUAAAGGGUGCGUAGGCGGGAUUAUAAGUCAGAGGUGAAAUCUCGUCGCUUAACGACGGAAUUGCCUUUGAUACUGUUUUCUUGAAAUUUGUUGAGGUUGGCGGAAUGAGACAUGUAGCGGUGAAAUGCUUAGAUAUGUCUUAGAACACCGAUUGCGAAGGCAGCUGACUGGACAAUUAUUGACGCUGAGCACGAAGCGUGGGAUCAAACAGGUAUUAGACUACCCGUGGUACGUCCGUACCGACCCGUAACCGUAACGUAGUUUACGUUUACGUCGUUGUUUAGUUUUUACGGUUAACGUUAGUAGGUGGUACGGAACGACGGAACGACG
rnacentral:rRNA from 1 species